rnacentral:rRNA from 1 species
AGCGAACGCUGGCGGCAGGCCUAACACAUGCAAGUCGAACGGACCCUUCGGGGUUAGUGGCGGACGGGUGAGUAACACGUGGGAACGUGCCUUUUGGUUCGGAAUAGCUCCUGGAAAGGGGUGGGAAUGCCGAAUGUGCCCUUCGGGGGAACGAUUUAACGCCUUUAGAGCGGCCCGCGCCUGAUUAGCUGGUGGGUUGGGGUAAUGGCCCACCAAGGCUACGAUCAGUAGCUGGUCUGAGAGGAUGACCAGCCACAUUGGGACUGAGACACGGCCCAAACUCCUACGGGAGGCCGCAGUGGGGAAUCUUGCGAAAUGGGCGAAAGCCUGACGCAGCCAUGCCGCGUGGAUGAUGAAGGUCUUAGGAUUGUAAUAUCCUUUCACCGGUGAAGAUAAUGACUGUAGCCGGAGAAGAAGCCCCGGCUAACUUCGUGCCAGCCGCCGCGGUAAGAC